UACGUAGGCAGCAAGCGUUGCUCGGAAUUAUUGGGCGUAAAGCGCGCGUAGGCGGCCACUUAAGUCGGAUGUGAAAGCCCCUGGCUCAACUGGGGAAGUGCACCCGAAACUGAAUGGCUUGAGUGCGAAAGAGGGUCGCGGAAUUCCCGGUGUAGAGGUGAAAUUCGUAGAUAUCGGGAGGAACACCGGUGGCGAAGGCGGCGACCUGGGUCGACACUGACGCUGAGGCGCGAAAGCGUGGGGAGCAAACAGG
rnacentral:rRNA from 1 species